GUGAGGAAUAUUGGUCAAUGGACGAGAGUCUGAACCAGCCAAGUCGCGUGAAGGAAGACGGUUCUAUGAAUUGUAAACUUCUUUUGUGCAGGAAUAAAGUGGGUUACGUGUAACCUUUUGUAUGUACUGUACGAAUAAGGAUCGGCUAACUCCGUGCCAGCAGCCGCGGUAAUACGGAGGAUCCGAGCGUUAUCCGGAUUUAUUGGGUUUAAAGGGUGCGUAGGUGGAUUGAUAAGUCAGCGGUGAAAGUUUGCAGCUUAACUGUAAAAUUGCCGUUGAAACUGUCGAUCUUGAGUGCAAAUGAGGUAAGCGGAAUGUGUUGUGUAGCGGUGAAAUGCUUAGAUAUAACACAGAACACCGAUUGCGAAGGCAGCUUACUGGGAUGCAACUGACGCUCAUGCACGAAAGCGUGGGGAUCAAACAGGAUUAGAAACCCCUGUAGUCC
rnacentral:rRNA from 1 species